UACAGAGGGGGCAAGCGUUGUUCGGAAUUACUGGGCGUAAAGGGCGCGUAGGUGGCCUUCUAAGUUGAACGUGAAAUCCCUGGGCUCAACCCAGGAACUGCGUCCAAGACUGGGAGGCUUGAAUCCGGGAGAGGGAUGCGGAAUUCCAGGUGUAGCGGUGAAAUGCGUAGAUAUCAGGAGGAACACCGGUGGCGAAGGCGGCUUUCUGGACAGUAACUGACGCUGAGGCGCGAAAGCUAGGGGAGCAAACAGG
rnacentral:rRNA from 1 species